GUUGUCUUGUUUGGUAGGUAGUUUCCCGUUUGGUCACAGCGGCGGGAAUAGGGCCUGGGUUAAAGAGGAUUUAGGUGGAAUAGGAAGUGGGCAGGCCAAGGUCUAGGCUGGACUAUGCCGGAGUGGAAAAUGGUUUGUAGGUUCUAGCUCAUUGGUGGCUACGAAUCUGGGGGUGUAGGGGUGUCUGGGUACACCCCUACAGUUAAACAUAUGGUUAUGGGGCCUCUUUGGUAGGCCAUGGGUUAAACGUUAUGUAUUAUUGGAAUGUUUUAUUAUGUUAUUUGGUAGGGUCAUUGUCGGGGGUAUUGGGCAAGAAGGUCGGACAUAAUUAAUACUUGUGACAAUGACCCUAAAUUGUUAAAUUGUUGAAUUAAAAUUUUUAAUAAAGCUGUGGACUUUAUACUCCAACAGAAAUGGUGUCACAGAGUUAUUUUAUUAAGGUUUUAGCACAUGCCGAAU